rnacentral:rRNA from 1 species
AUACGUAGGGCGCGAGCGUUGUUCGGAAUUACUGGGCGUAAAGCGCGUGUAGGUGGCCAGGUAAGUCAGGUGUGAAAGCCCUCGGCUCAACCGGGGAAGUGCACCUGAAACUGCCUGGCUAGAGGGCGGCAGAGGGAGGUGGAAUUCCUGGUGUAGAGGUGAAAUUCGUAGAUAUCAGGAGGAAUACCGGUGGCGAAGGCGGCCUCCUGGACCGUUCCUGACACUGAGGUGCGAAAGCGUGGGGAGCAAACAGGAUUAGAAACCCUAGUAGUCC